AACGUAGGUGGCAAGCGUUGUCCGGAAUUAUCGGGCGUAAAGCGCGCGCAGGCGGUUAUGUAAGUCUGAUGUUAAAGCCCGGGGCUCAGCCUCGGUUCGCAUUGGAAACUGUGUAACUUGAGUGCAGAAGAGGAAAGUGGUAUUCCACGUGUAGCGGUGAAAUGCGUAGAUAUGUGGAGGAACACCAGUGGCGAAGGCGACUUUCUGGUCUGUAACUGACGAUGAGGCGCGAAAGCGUGGGGAGCAAACAGG
rnacentral:rRNA from 1 species